UCGAUUUACAACUCCCAACCCUUCUUGAACAUACCUACUGUUGCUUCGGCGGACUCGCCCCGACGUCCGGACGGCCUCGCGCCGCCCGCGGCCCGGACCCAGGCGGCCGCCGGAGACCCCCAAACUCUGUAUCAUGAGCAUCUUCUGAAUCCGCCGCAAGGCAAAACAAAUGAAUCAAAACUUUCAACAACGGAUCUCUUGGUUCUGGCAUCGAUGAAGAACGCAGCGAAAUGCGAUAAGUAAUGUGAAUUGCAGAAUUCAGUGAAUCAUCGAAUCUUUGAACGCACAUUGCGCCCGCCAGCAUUCUGGCGGGCAUGCCUGUUCGAGCGUCAUUUCAACCCUCGACUUCCCUGGAAAUCGGCGUUGGGGAACGGCAGCAUACCGCCGGCCCCGAAAUGGAGUGGCGGCCCGUCCGCGGCGACCUCUGCGUAGUAAUCCAACUCGCACCGGAACCCCGACGCGGCCACGCCGUAAAACACCCAA
rnacentral:rRNA from 1 species